rnacentral:lncRNA from 1 species
AUGGUGCUGGACUCGGGGACCCAGGCCUAUGAGCAGGCACCCCCUUCCCUCUCUGUCAGCCCUCCAACUGUUUCUGGGGUGGGGAAGAUCUCAAAGCAGAAUGGGCCACAACUGUACCCCUCUAUCCAGCCACCAAUAUCAGCCCCUAGCUCCCAGAAACGACUCUCAUUGGCCUCACUGGGUCGUGGUCGGAUUCGGCGCAGUGAGAGUUCCUGCUCCGUCGGAGGGUCCAGCAGAAAGGGACGCCUCCGGCCCGCCUCCUCCCUGCCCCACAUUGCUAAAUGCAAGGUAGAGGAAAGCCGGGCAGCCAGCAAGAGCCCCUGCCUGCUGGUAGCCUUAAGACCCAACAACCUGGAGCAAGAGCGAGCCCGGUUCUUUCAAUCAAGGUACACCUACAACCCGCAGUUUGAGUAUGAGGAGCCAGUUCCAGCUGCCGUGUUGGAAAAGUACAACGAGGCCUCAGACAAGUUCAUCCCCCAGGCGGUGGGGAUCAUUGAAGCAGUCCUGGAGAAGUAUGGGACCUACGAGCAGUUUGAGGCGAUCACGGGAGGCCAGCUGCUGACGAAGUGCCAGAUCUGGUCCAUCGUCCGCAAAUACAUGCAGAAGGAAGGCUGCAUGGUGGGGAGGCCUCCAGUGGUGGUGCAGCUGAGUGAGGACCUGCUGUCCCAAGCAGUGAUGAUGGUGGAGAACAGCCGGCCCACGCUGGCCAUCAACCUGACUGGGGCCCGCCAGUACUGGCUGGAGGGCAUGUUGCGGCAUGAGAUAGGCACCCAUUAUCUUCGAUUUGUCAAUAACACUCGGCAGCCCUGGAACACCUCUGAUGGCCGGCGGCAGUAUGGGCUCCGGCCUGCCAACCCCACUGAGGAGGGGCUGGCCAGCCUGCACAGCGUGCUUUUCCGCAAACAGCCGUUCCUGUGGCGGGCAGCCCUGCUGUACUACACCAUCCAGAGGGCGGCCCUGAUGUCCUUCCGCCAGCUAUUCCAGGACCUCGCCCAGUAUGUGCAGGACGCCUCGGUGCGCUGGGAGUACUGUGUGAGGGCCAAGCGGGGCCAGACAGACACGUCCAAGCCUGGCUGCUUCAGUAAGGACCAGGUGUACUUGGAUGGGAUCCUACGCAUCUUGCGGCAUCGGCAGAAUAUUGAUUUCCAUAUGCUGACUGCUUUGGGCAAGGUGUCCUAUGAGGAUGUGAAUCAGCUCCGGCCUCACGGGAAGCUGGAAAAGGCUCGGAUCCCUCACUUCAUGCAGGACUUGACGCGCUACCACCAGCAGCUGGAACACAUCAUCACCACCAACCGCUUGGAUGAUGCCCAGCUGGACAGCCUGUUGCCAGACUGA